UGCAGUCGAACGGUGAAGGAGGAGCUUGCUCCUUUGGAUCAGUGGCGAACGGGUGAGUAACACGUGAGUAACCUGCCCCAGACUCUGGGAUAAGCACUGGAAACGGUGUCUAAUACCGGAUACGAGCUUCAGCCGCAUGGCUAGGAGCUGGAAAGAAUUUCGGUCUGGGAUGGACUCGCGGCCUAUCAGCUAGUUGGUGAGGUAAUGGCUCACCAAGGCGACGACGGGUAGCCGGCCUGAGAGGGUGACCGGCCACACUGGGACUGAGACACGGCCCAGACUCCUACGGGAGGCAGCAGUGGGGAAUAUUGCACAAUGGGCGCAAGCCUGAUGCAGCAACGCCGCGUGAGGGACGACGGCCUUCGGGUUGUAAACCUCUUUUAGUAGGGAAGAAGCGAAAGUGACGGUACCUGCAGAAAAAGCACCGGCUAACUACGUGCCAGCAGCCGCGGUAAUACGUAGGGUGCAAGCGUUAUCCGGAAUUAUUGGGCGUAAAGAGCUCGUAGGCGGUUUGUCGCGUCUGCUGUGAAAACUGGAGGCUCAACCUCCAGCCUGCAGUGGGUACGGGCAGACUAGAGUGCGGUAGGGGAGAUUGGAAUUCCUGGUGUAGCGGUGGAAUGCGCAGAUAUCAGGAGGAACACCGAUGGCGAAGGCAGAUCUCUGGGCCGUAACUGACGCUGAGGAGCGAAAGCAUGGGGAGCGAACAGGAUUAGAUACCCUGGUAGUCCAUGCCGUAAACGUUGGGAACUAGAUGUAGGGACCAUUCCACGGUUUCUGUGUCGCAGCUAACGCAUUAAGUUCCCCGCCUGGGGAGUACGGCCGCAAGGCUAAAACUCAAAGGAAUUGACGG
rnacentral:rRNA from 3 species